CAGGCACCAAAGAAGGAGAAGGCCCCGGUGGCAUCGUCGAAGCCGGCCAAGUCCGGUGGCGGCAAGCAGAAGAAGAAGAAGUGGAGCAAGGGCAAGCAAAAGGAGGUGCCCAAGUACAAUGUGAUGCUCAGUUUAGUGCAUCCUCAGGUUUUGCUCGAUCAACGGGUCUCCCACAAGCAGAUCACGCCCUCCGUCCUCUCCGAGCGCCUCAGGGUAACCUCCUCCCUCCCUGCGCCGGAUCUCUUCUUCUUGCUUGUCUCCUUCCUUACUUCCCAUGAGAACCAAGAUCUCCGGACGGUAGGAUAUGUGUGUGAUGCAUCAUGGCUCCUGGUGAAGUGUUCUGCUCUGAGCAAGAACAAGAUCUCUAUUUUGGGGUCAGUCCGUCAGAUUUUGCUUGGUGUGCCAUGUUAUAGCUAG
rnacentral:rRNA from 1 species